rnacentral:rRNA from 1 species
UCCUACGGGGGGCAGCAGUGAGGAAUAUUGGUCAAUGGGCGGGAGCCUGAACCAGCCAAGUCGCGUGAGGGAAGACGGUCCUAUGGAUUGUAAACCUCUUUAGGCGGGGAGCAAUGCCGGGCACGCGUGUCCGGAGGGAGAGUACCCGCAGAAUAAGCAUCGGCUAACUCCGUGCCAGCAGCCGCGGUAAUACGGAGGAUGCGAGCGUUAUCCGGAUUUAUUGGGUUUAAAGGGUGCGUAGGCGGGCUGCCAAGUCAGCGGUAAAAUUGCGGGGCUCAACCCCGUCGAGCCGUUGAAACUGGCGG